UACGUAGGGGGCAAGCGUUGUUCGGAAUUACUGGGCGUAAAGGGCUCGUAGGCGGCCAACUAAGUCAGACGUGAAAUCCCUCGGCUUAACCGGGGAACGGCCUCUGAUACUGGAUGGCUUGAGUUCGGGAGAGGGAUGCGGAAUUCCAGGUGUAGCGGUGAAAUGCGUAGAUAUGCGGAGGAACACCGAUGGCGAAGGCAAUCCCCUGGGCCUGCACUGACGCUCAUGCACGAAAGCGUGGGGAGCAAACAGG
rnacentral:rRNA from 1 species